rnacentral:piRNA from 1 species
GUGUGUUGUCUGUCCCCAGAGACC